GCUCUUGCCCUUUAGGGCGAACUGGUUGAUUGAGUAUAUUUGGCCUCGGCCUCUAUCUCUGAGCUCUAUUGCCAUUUGCCACGUAAUCUCCCGAGUGCAGAGCAUAUGCAGAGUUCAAAUGCUAUUCGGAACGAGAAAACGCGGAAAUGUCAGAUUUGCUAACUGGUUGUAGUUAUAUACGUGCCGCGUACAUGGUUAGCAAGUGGGUAAAUGUCCGAGUUUCCUAGCUCCGACUAGCACUUGAAAGCGGCAAUAGGUACAAGGGGCGGAUUGCGUAGCAGAGCAACACGAGCCUGUCAGAACCGGAGGAGAACACACGGGCAAAAUCUUAGAGCAUACAAGUUCAAGGGGGGUAUUGUUUUAGUUUCCCCUGUGAAAACAAAACAUUGAAACGUGGACAUUGUUGAUUAAGUAGGUGCGUGGUGUUGGCGAGCAAGUGGACCACCAAUGACUGCACCUUCAGAACUGUAGAGGCAGUAACUGUCACUGCAUCUGCAGGACUUGUCUGAGAGACUUGGCUGACCCUACGGAGUGUUGCAGUGUGCCUGCCCAGGGAGGGCGUCACCAUGAGGCAGCUGAAGGGGAAGCCCAAGAAGGAGACAUCCAGGGACAAGAAGGAGCGUAAGGCGGCCAUGCAGGAGGCCCGGUCGCAGGUGGUCACAGUGGUUCUACCCACGCUGGCUGUGGUGGUGCUGCUCAUCGUAGUCUUUGUUUACGUAGCCACCAUGCCCAGGGCCUUAGAGUAGUGCCAGGUUCCACAUACCUCCCCUUGGCCCUAACCCCUUGAUGUUAGCAUGUCUGUCGGGUCUUAAUAGGUAUAAGCAGUGUCAGCAUUCUCCAACCCUGUUCCUGGAGAGCUACCUUGCUGUAGGUGUUCACUCCAACCCUAGUUGUAACUAACCUGAUUCAGCCUAUCAACUAGCUAAUUAUUAGAAUCAGGUGUGCUAGAUUAGGGUUGGAGCGAAAAACUACAGGAAGAUAUCUCUCCAGGAACAGCGUCGGAGAGCCCUGAGCAGUGUAGUACUACAGCGUCCACCAUAUUGCUCCUAUCUAAUAGAUCUCGGCCAAGGGGAAGGGUAGGGGUUGAAUCGGGUCCUGCUCUAGGAUGGCCGGGCCCCGCUGGGGAUGUAUGCCUCAGCCCUGCCUCCAUGGACUGGGUCCCAAUUUACCCAGAGACUUGCUGCACCCAAAGGAUGCCCCCCACCCCCGACUCCCAGCUUAAUGUACUCAUCCCUCAUAUAGCCGUUUUUUUAAAUGUUAUUUUAUUUAACCUUUAUUUAACUAGGCAAGUUUUCUGGUCACUCAUUUCAUCCUCUCACCCACACUUCACUAUCUCCUUGUGUCCUCGGGGACCUGCCAUUUGUCUUAAUUGAAGAUUCCUGCCAAGUGCCAUUUUGCCGUGAGAGAAUUGAGCUGCAAAACAAUCAUUGAAUGGAGAAGUAUUACAGGAGUGGCUUAAUAGGUGCCUUUUUGAUGGAUGAAGAUGUGUGGCAACUAAGGCAACCAUGUUAGCUCAAGGGCAGAACUUUUAUCCGCUACAUCUCACUCAUUCUGUAACGACAGUGGGAUUCAUGUUGGCUCUGGUGCUGUCUUACUUUCAAUUUCCUGUUUACCAAAGGACUUUCAUUACACACCUUGCCAAGUUUGAUCUGGGGAUGUUUUAUUCAGGUGAAAGGUUGAAGAAGCAUUUAAUUAAAGUGUGACAAAAUGAAUCUACUGGCAUUGUUUAGCAAUGUGUUUUUCAAGAUUAAGGUUACAUGACAAAGAGCAUUUGACCGUUUUUCAGACCAGCAGUCCAAGCUAUGUCUAGAAUGUAUACAUCCAAAAAUGUGCGAUUACAAAAAAAAAGAACAUUUUCACAUGCCAGCAAUUGGUCCAGUCUGUUCAAAUAGUUGAAAGCAACUCAGGAUUUUGUCCUGAUUUGAAUGUGGUGUUUUUGUACUAGACAGAUUGUGAAUAUGUCACACAGGAGAACAUAAUAUAUUAAUGUACAAUCACAGCGUUACACACUUUGUACCUUUUUUAAGUUAUUGGCAACUUUGACUUUUGGGUCGCUCAAUAUGACAUCUGUGCAGAUGUGAAAAUAUGUGCCUUAUAACAUUUGACAAUUCCUCUUUUUCAGUUAAUAAAGAACUGAAAACUGUUUGUUGCUCGAGUCCCCUCAAACUCGAUUCUGGACCUCGAAGCCAGUUUUUUUCCCAUUGUUCCCCUCUAUUCAGGGGCACGUUUAGACCUGGGUCACCUGGUGGGUGAAAUGACCUCCUAGGGUAAGAGUUGAAUAACCCUGCUCUAGUCUAUUCGGUGUAAUUGUGUACCUUUUCAAAUCAAAUCAAAUGUAUUUAUAUAGCCCUUUGUACAUCAGCUGAUAUCUCAAAGUGCUGUACAGAAACCCAGCCUAAAACUCCAAACAGCAAGCAAUGCAGGUGUAGAAGCACGGUGGCUAGGAAAAACUCCCUAGAAAGGCCAAAACCUAGGAAGAAACCUAGAGCGGAACCAGGCUAUGUGGGGUGGCCAGUCCUCUUCUGGCUGUGCCGGGUGGAGAUUAUAACAGAACAUGGCCAAGAUGUUCAAAUGUUCAUAAAUGACCAGCAUGGUCGAAUAAUAGUAAGACGGAACAGUUGAAACUGGAGCCAUAUGACCCAUAUGCAGUAAUGCAGGCAGCCUGAUGGAUCAGUAGUGUCACCUGGCAUCCUCUAGGGACACUAAAGAGCAGUGUCCCUACUGUCCCCUAGGCGUACUGUACGUCUGUGUUGGCCCCUGCCCCUGUUGCCCAAAGUCUGACUUGCUUUGGAUGAGGAAUGGUUGGAUUUUGCUCUGUCCUGUAAUAUAUAAUCUGAGAGUGUGCAGGCAAGGAUGAACAAGGGAAAGAACAUGAUCUAAGAUUGAUUGCUCCUUAGAACUUCAGAUGGAGCACUUAAAGUAAGGACAAAUUCUGUAAUAUACUGAGAUGGUGGAGAAUCCUCUUGUGUACCAGAUUGACGUAUUUUUAAUGAGCGGCUAUCCAUAAAUGUCAGAGCAGAGAAAAGGCUUAACCUAAUCAGUCUUGAGACCCCAACAAAAAUAGUCUUCAUUUAUGACUUUCAUUUAUCUGCAUGUCCAGCCCUUAUUUAGCCUCAGUGUUUUACCAUUUUAUUUUCAGGACAACUAGGGCUACAAGUAAAAUAAUUUGACAUAAAAAGUUGCAUUCAUUAGUUUUGACUAAUGUAUAUUUAUAAAAAUAUAUAUUUUAAAGUGGGACUUAAUACAAAAACCUGAAUAUGAAUGGUAUAUGUACAUAAAUUGUUUGGUCAGUGGGAAAUUAAUAUCCAACUAGUCAGUGACAACUGUGCAGUUUGGAGUUUGUUACAGCAACUAUGUGAGCUUAUGUUUGAGUAUUAUAGACACUAUGUCCUUGGAUUUCCUAUGAUCUUUGUAGAAUAACCCCAUACCUUCUAAGGACUCUUAUGUAGCUUGUGAGCGUCAACAUGCAUGUUUGUGAGAGUCAGCUUUUUAUAGAUCGCUUUUACGUAACUCUACCCAGCCCCGGGCCCCGCCCUUGUCCCACAAACACCGCUCUAGCUCAGCCCCUGUUAAUCACAAAGCUGAAGCAGGAGACAUAGACAAAUCCAAUGGUACAAAUGUUUAUUUUACCUUUAUUUAACUAGGCAAGUCAGUUAAGAAUUCUUAUUUUCAAUGACGGCCUAGGAACAGUGGGUUGGGUCAGAACGACAGAUUUGUACCUUGUCAGCUCGGGGGUUUGAACUUGCAACCUUCCGGUUACUGGUCCAACGCUCUAACCACUAGGGUACCCUGCCGCCCCAAAUCUAAUGGUACCAUUUUUAAACACACAAUGUUUAAAAAUGGUUAGAAGUCCAAAUCGUGCCGGCGACGCGGUGGGACUCAUUGGGACCCCUGUGAAAUAGAGAAAGUUAAGCCGAGACACAAGCACCUCACACCAUACCCCCUCCCUUCUUCCAACACACAGCUGCAACAUGAAGUUAAUCUACUUCCUUCUAUACAGCAAAAAUAUCCAGCAGACCAUUACCUUGGAGAAGCGCUGUAGUCUAACAAGAUGUCUGUUUGAAUGGAUCCAGCCUCUUCCCUAUUCUCUAGUCUCCCCUCUCUUCCUGGUGUCUCAUUAAAAGUUGGAGGGAGACAGAUGGUGUGGUGCAAGUCAAGUAUGGCUGACUUCGUAUGUCAGCUUCUCUAUCUCUGUGCUCUCACUAUCCCCAUACUUGCUGAGUUAGAGGUGUGGUUUGGGGUAAGAAGACCUGAGUUUGGGGUCAAGUGCUUGAGAAAUGUUAACAAUUACUUUAUUAGAUAAAAAUGAAUCACAUCUAAAAACAUUUAAAAAUUGGAUUUUUUACUAAGACCAUAGAAUCAUGUACACUGUUCAUCUGAAUAGUUUGAGAUGUACAGUAAGACCUCUGAUAUAAACACGUUGAGAAUGGAGGUGGUUCAGAACAUUGAAAUGUUCAAAUCAUUAUGGAAAAUAAGAGUAUUUUUUUAAGUUGACCGAGAAAAUACAUUUAUCUCCCUUGAACAGGAUAUUAUAUUGAAACCAUCUGCCAUCCUUCCUUUCUCCUCAUUUGAGACCAAGUGUAACAGUAUACUUUUAAACCGUCACCUCGCCCAUACCCGGGCGCAAACCAGGGACCUUCUGCAUACAUCAACAACAGUCACCCACGAAGCAUCGUUACCCAUCGCUCCACAAAAGCCGCGGCCCUUGCAGAGCAAGGGGAACUACUACUUCAAGGUCUCAGAGCAAGUGACGUAACCGAUUGAAACGCUAUUUAGCGCACACCGCUAACUAAGCUAGCCGUUUCACAUCCGUUACACAAGCACGGAGACACUGAUGAAUAGUCAUUGACUGACAGUAUUGGUUCAGUGAAGGUGGAGUGAAAUGCAGGUGUGUCAUAGUAAACUUGUUAGAAGGACAGAAUGCCUUGUGAGGAGUUCAGAUACACCCCAACUCUGUCAGUGUUUGAGGAAACAACGUUUGAGGAGUCUCAGGCGCCAGGAUUUGUCAUUGUAACAAAAUAAACAGUUGAGCUCUUCCACCACACAGCCUCCCAAUAACAACGUCCAGUCAAACCUUCUCUUCACAGCACCUGAGGAUAGUCGUCAAAUCUCUCGGUGUGAUAUAGAUUAUUCAACUAACAUUAAUCUAGCACCAGGAUCAGCAGUGUUUAGCAUAAACUAAAUCAGAUAUUUUGCUAGCUAAUUUAGCGAACGUCGGUAGCCUCGAACCCCGGCCAUAUUAUAUCAUAUAAAUUAGUUAGCCUCAAACUUUGCCCGGUCAUACUGCUAGUUGCAGUGACCGGCACCGUCAUGUUUUAUUAAAAACAACGCUGAAAAAAACAUAUAAACUAUAACAGCCACGGAAACACAUUGGUCUGUGUUAAUGCUAUCAAGACACUUCAAUCUGACACUUGUUACUGUUUGACGUCAGGCAAAACAUCUUCAGCCACCGUAGGACGGAGAGCCGCUGGUUGGCAUUUGACUGCAGUGUCUGUCUGGGUGUACCAGGAAAGAACGUUAGUAGUUAGGUCCCCAUGAUAUCAAAGCUUCUUACCGUCUCCACUGCAGCCUAGUCGAUAUCGAUCAAAUAAAAUAAACUGGAACAAUGGAUUGUACAACUCCAGUUUGCCUAUUGCCCCAACAAAUGUCAAUUAUACAUUUUUACAUACGUCAGAGUGCAUUUUCUUUUAUAGCUUUGCGUUCUACGCCAUCCUUACCCACAAACUGGUUAGCAGGCUCUGGGUGUAAAUCCUGUAAUAAAUUAGAUUUUUUUACAAGAAUGUGUAUCCACAGAAUGGACCUGACACUACCAUGGUACACAUGAGUACAUGAAGGAGCUGUGGGACCUGACAAUGGUGAUAGGACAAGUUUCAGCAUACGCAAAACAAAGUAGAUGGUGAUACUUGACCAUUCUCCCAUCUACUGUACAUUGACAUGGAGAUGAUCAGCAACUGGGCACCCAGAUAUCCUUUUCUGACCUCAGUUACUUCACUCAAAGUCCCACUUGUGCUUCUCCAUUAACCUCAAACUUGCUGCACCACGACCUAUGUACCAACUACAGUGUCUUUUAUUGCCAUAACACAUGUAAAGGAAAUGUCCAUAUUUACUGUAAGAUUUAUUUAUGGUAACAUUGCACAUAUUGUAACAUAGUCCCUUGACAUACAUGACUUAACUACUUUGCAUAAUGCUCAGUUUACCCACUAAAAUCAUACAUUUAUUUAAAUAUUAAAGCUGCAUUAUGUAA